rnacentral:rRNA from 1 species
UACGUAGGGGGCAAGCGUUGUCCGGAAUCAUUGGGCGUAAAGAGCGUGUAGGCGGUCCGAUAAGUCCGCUCUGAAAGCCCGGGGCUCAACCCCGGGAGGCGGGCGGAUACUGUCGGGCUAGAGUCCGGAAGAGGCAAGUGGAAUUCCUGGUGUAGCGGUGAAAUGCGCAGAUAUCAGGAAGAACACCCGUGGCGAAAGCGGCUCUCUGGAACGGUACUGACGCUGAGACGCGAAAGCGUGGGGAGCGAACUGG